UCUCAAUCCGUGCGCUGUUGUAAGAGGAAAUGGAACUCCGAGUUGUGUCGGAGGAGCGGUGGCGGCUCCACGUCGGCGAGGCUGAUGUCCAGCACCGACCGUGAUAUGUCGUCCAACGAGAACGGAAAUAUAUUAACUGCAUGAGGGAGUUCCUUAGUAACAUGGAGAAAGUAAUGCUAUGAGCACAAGCUCAAGUCAUAGAACACAACCUCAACUGAUGACCUGAUUGUAUGAAUGAUGCGAUCAAAUAUGUUUGUCUUCUCUGCUUCAAAUGAGUGCCACUGGAGCAGUGACUUGUAAACAAUGCAUGCUGCAGCCGGUCUUUUCUUGUCAAAACGCUUAUCCUCCAUGAGACACUUGAUAAGUGCAUCAUGGUUUUCCUAUAAAUACAAAACAAUUACAGAAUCUGAUGUUAACGAAUGGAAAACAAGGAAUGUCUCAGAGUUCUCUUUCUUCUUGGUUCAUAUAGGUAUUAUGCUGGGUUAGAUGGCUACUGACAUACCUGUUGCCUGUCAGUCAGAGACUUCUGUUUGCUUAGAGCUGGUGCGAGAGGGACGACUGGCGACUCCUGCAAGUAAAACUUUGGCACCUCUUUGAUUACUGGCGGUGCUUGUUCAAUUGCUAUUCUUGCCACUUCUUUUUCCUUGAUGAUUGCCGCAUGGGCUUCCUCAAGCUUCUCCUGCAUUUCUUGUAAUGCAGAUUGUAGCUUUGCAAUUUCUUGCCCUUUGGCUUCUUCAAGGAUAUGAUUUUCACCAAGAUGGAGUGCAUGCCUACAAUAAUCACAUACCUUAAAGCGAGUACCGAUGGAGGAGAACUUGGACUGCUUUGAAGAUUCUUCAGGUAAUGGAGGAAAGAGAUUUGCAGCAAAAGGAUCCUUUGAGCACAGAGCAUGUAGAAGCAAUGAUAGUUCCUCUCAGGGUCAGAUACCUGACAAACUCUCGAGCGCUCAAGAAGAUACGUGCGGACUGCAGCUCCAGAAAUCUUCCCAUAUUUGUCAAAUUGGAUUUCAACAAAUUUACCAAAACGACUGAAUGAACAGUUACUUCUCCAUCAGGCAUCUGCAACUGCGAAAAGAUGUGGACUUAGCUCCCCAAAAGCAGCACCAUUGUACUGUUCCAUCAUAUGGACGUCAUAGAGAUGGGGCAACCUUCGGAAAGGGUUCACGGCAAUUAAUAUAUUCCCUGUGGAAAUGGAUGAUGAUAACGUACAUAUAUCUCAUUCAGGGAAUAACGGGAAGCGAGGUUAUAUAAAACUCCUGGUUCAUGGAGGUAGGCCAACUUGGUCAUAUCAUCUACCCCAGCUGGAGGAGCUUCUGUAUCCUUUGGAUAGAUACUGGAAAGAUUUGCCACUAUCUGCAUACUUGAUCAAUGUCUGAGUUAGUCUUUGUAAGAUAUCAUUACUGGCUGGACUAUUCAAAUACUGCAAAAUGUAGCAAGCUAACGCAUUUUGUUCCUAAAAAAAUAAAAUUCCAUUGGACAUCGGAA